ACUAAAAUGCCCGAGUGGUUAAGGUGUUGGACUUAAAAUCCAAUGGACACAUGUCCUCAUGUUUUUACCA
rnacentral:tRNA from 1 species